rnacentral:rRNA from 1 species
CGCAUGGUGGGGUGGGAAAUGCUUUUUGCGGCAUGGGAUGGGGUCGCGUCCUAUCAGCUUGUUGGCGGGGUGAUGGCCCACCAAGGCGUUGACGGGUAGCCGGCCUGAGAGGGUGACCGGCCACAUUGGGACUGAGAUACGGCCCAGACUCCUACGGGAGGCAGCAGUGGGGAAUAUUGCACAAUGGGCGCAAGCCUGAUGCAGCGACGCCGCGUGCGGGAUGGAGGCCUUCGGUUGUAAACCGCUUUUGUUCAAGGGCAAGGCACGGCUUCGGGCCGUGUUGAGUGGAUUGUUCGAAUAAGCACCGGCUAACUACGUGCCAGCAGCCGCGGUAAUACGUGGGUGCGAGCGUUAUCCGGAUUUAUUGGGCGUAAAGGGCUCGUAGGCGGUUCGUCGCGUCCGGUGUGAAAGUCCAUCGCCUAACGGUGGAUCUGCGCCGGGUACGGGCGGGCUGGAGUGCGGUAGGGGAGACUGGAAUUCCCGAGUGUAACGGUGGAAUGUGUAGAUAUCGGGAAGAACACCAAUGGCGAAGGCAGGUCUCUGGGCCGUUACUGACGCUGAGGAGCGAAAGCGUGGGGAGCGAACAGGAUUAGAUACCCUGGUAGUCCACGCCGUAAACGGUGGAUGCUGGAUGUGGGGCCCUUUCCACGGGUCCUGUGUCGGAGCCAACGCGUUAAGCAUCCCGCCUGGGGAGUACGGCCGCAAGGCUAAAACUCAAAGAAAUUGACGGGGGCCCGCACAAGCGGCGGAGCAUGCGGAUUAAUUCGAUGCAACGCGAAGAACCUUACCUGGGCUUGACAUGUGCCGGAUCGCCCCGGAAACGGGGUUUCCCUUCGGGGCCGGUUCACAGGUGGUGCAUGGUCGUCGUCAGCUCGUGUCGUGAGAUGUUGGGUUAAGUCCCGCAACGAGCGCAACCCUCGCCGCAUGUUGCCAGCGGGUUAUGCCGGGAACUCAUGUGGGACCGCCGGGGUCAACUCGGAGGAAGGUGGGGAUGACGUCAGAUCAUCAUGCCCCUUACGUCCAGGGCUUCACGCAUGCUACAAUGGCCGGUACAACGCGAUGCGACACGGUGACGUGGGGCGGAUCGCUGAAAACCGGUCUCAGUUCGGAUCGCAGUCUGCAACUCGACUGCGUGAAGGCGGAGUCGCUAGUAAUCGCGGAUCAGCAACGCCGCGGUGAAUGCGUUCCCGGGCCUUGUACACACCGCCCGUCAAGUCAUGAAAGUGGGUAGCACCCGAAGCCGGUGGCCCGACCCUCGUGGGGGGAGCCGUCUAAGGUGA